GUGGUGGGUGCACUUGUCAGCCACAACAAAUUGAAUGGUGGUGACCUACACUAAUCAUGGGGGGCAGUUUACAGAGGACAAGUGAUUGGAGCAGACCUCUAGAAGAGUUAAACCUGAAGAAAGAAGCCUGCAUACCAGAGAAUGCCAACAAUCAACCGCCAGUUGAAACACCUGAACAGCCAGGCCCAGAUACCAACAAGAAAAGAGAAAUAAAGUUCUCCAGUCACCUAAAGAUCAGGAAGAAUAACAAAGAUAAACUAGUGAAAGAUGAAAAAAUGCUUAGGAAGAAACCAGGAAGAAAAACCUUUCAAUUGCCUCCUACCUGCCCAAGAAACUAUAAAAGAACAAUAAGACCAACAAUAUUUUUAUGUUCUCACAAGACAAGUAAUGCAAAGAAUAAAACCCACCAUAGCCAAAACAAAAAACACUGGAAUAUAACAUCAUUCCAUGUGACCUCCUGUGGAUCUAGAAAAUGUAAAGCCUGGGUUAGAAACUUAAAACGAGCUACAGCAGUUUCAGAAGUAAAUGUAGAGUAGAGGAAAGAAAAGACACUUGAGAUCACAUCAACAGUCAACAAGAAAUGUGCCAGUUGGCAGUUGAAAUAAAACAUUCAAUAUGUGGGAAAAAAGAAAUUAUAAUGGUUUAGAAAAGUAGAACUAAUAAGUUCUCCUCUACCUUACCUGCUACUGCCCUUGUCUUCCCCCAAAAACUUGAAGAGGAGACCUCAAAUCCAACAAUAAUCAUCCUGAUAACAAUGCUGUCCGUAUUGUACCUGUGGAUCUAAUGUAACACCAGAAUCAUCAUUGCAGUUUCAAGGUGCAUUGUUAGGCAGAGACUUUUACACCUUCAAGAAGAACUCUUCAUUCUCCUCUCUAAAGACUGGUGAAAGCUUGGUUUGGGUAACCUUCAAAAUCAAGAAAUAAAGC